rnacentral:rRNA from 1 species
UCCGGUGGUCAUGACGAGAGGGUCACACCUGUUCCCAUCCCGAACACAGAAGUUAAGCCUCUCAGUGCCGAUGGUACUUGGCUGGACACGGCCCGGGAGAGUAGGUCGCUGCCGGAU